rnacentral:rRNA from 1 species
GAUGAACGCUGGCGGCGUGCCUAAUACAUGCAAGUCGAGCGAACAGAUCGGGCUCUUGCUCCUCUGACGUUAUCGGCGGACGGGUUAUUAACACUUGGAUAACCUACCUAUAAGACUGGGAUAACUUCGGGAAACCGGAGCUAAUACCGGAUAAUUUAUUGAACGGCAUGGUUCAAGAGUGAAAGUCGGUUUUUCUUUCACUAAUAGAUGGAUCCGCCCCGCAUUCGCUAGUUGUUAAGGUAGCGGCUUAGCCAGGCAACGAUGGGUACCCGCCCUGAGAGGGUGAUCGGACACACGGGAACUGAGACACGGUCCAGACUCCUACGGGAGGCAGCAGUAGGGACUCUUACGCAAUGGAGGAGAGCGUGACGGAGCACCGCCGCGUGAGUGAUGAAGGUCUUCGGACCGUAAAACUCUGUUAUUAGGGAAGAACAAAUGUGUAAGUAACUAUGCAGGUCUUGACGGUACCUAAUCAGAAAGCCACGGCUAACUACGUG